rnacentral:rRNA from 1 species
CCUACGGGUGGCAGCAGUGAGGAAUAUUGGUCAAUGGACGCAAGUCUGAACCAGCCAUGCCGCGUGCAGGAAGACGGCUCUAUGAGUUGUAAACUGCUUUUGUACGAGGGUAAGCGCAGAUACGCGUAUCUGUCUGAAAGUAUCGUACGAAUAAGGAUCGGCUAACUCCGUCCCAGCAGCCGCGGUAAUACGGAGGAUUCAAGCGUUAUCCGGAUUUAUUGGGUUUAAAGGGUGCGUAGGCGGUCGGAUAAGUUAGAGGUGAAAGCCCGAGGCUCAACUUCGGAAUUGCCCCUGAUACUGUUCGGCUAGAGAGUAGUUGCGGUAGGCGGAAUGUAUGGUGUAGCGGUGAAAUGCUUAGAGAGCAUACAGAACACCGAUUGCGAAGGCAGCUUACCAAGCUACUUCUGACGUUGAGGCACGAAAGCGUGGGGAGCAAACAGGAUUAGAUACCCCUGUAGUC